GAUGAACGCUGGCGGCGUGCCUAAUACAUGCAAGUCGAGCGAACGGACGAGAAGCUUGCUUCUCUGAUGUUAGCGGCGGACGGGUGAGUAACACGUGGAUAACCUACCUAUAAGACUGGGAUAACUUCGGGAAACCGGAGCUAAUACCGGAUAAUAUUUUGAACCGCAUGGUUCAAAAGUGAAAGACGGUCUUGCUGUCACUUAUAGAUGGAUCCGCGCUGCAUUAGCUAGUUGGUAAGGUAACGGCUUACCAAGGCAACGAUGCAUAGCCGACCUGAGAGGGUGAUCGGCCACACUGGAAAUGAGACACGGUCCAGACUCCUAAGGGAGGCAGCAGUAGGGAAUCUUCCGCAAUGGGCGAAAGCCUGACGGAGCAACGCCGCGUGAGUGAUGAAGGUCUUCGGAUCGUAAAACUCUGUUAUUAGGGAAGAACAUAUGUGUAAGUAACUGUGCACAUCUUGACGGUACCUAAUCAGAAAGCCACGGCUAACUACGUG
rnacentral:rRNA from 1 species